rnacentral:ncRNA from 1 species
GGGAGCACAACGACAGCUCCGCUAGCAUUCCAACUUCACAGAGUGGAUUGACCCCCAAUUUUGUUUUCCUUUCAAGGCGAAACUGCCGGAGCAAAACUCGUAAUGACACCUUAGCAAGGAAUUUGUAAACCGCCGGACAAAACAUUGCAUAAAACAGCCUGUCAAAAACCCGACUUGAAAAAAAAAAAAAAAGAAACACUCUGAAUUACACGUAUUUGCUUCCCUUCAGAUACGUAGUUUUUUUUUCCAAUAUUGACUUAUAGGUCCGUAGCAUUACUGACUACGGAACUCUCGUCUGUAUAUUGGUUAUAAUUACGGCGUAAAAAAUAACCAUGGAAAUUGAAAAAUCCAAAAGCAGGGCGACGGUGCGCUUAAGCCCGAGGACGCGGGUGCAGUUAUCUGCCGCGGCAGGAAGAAGGCAAGGGCAAUCUGAAAAAAGCUCCCAUGAAGGGCAGGCGAUGUAGGUUCACGAAAUUGAGACGAUUUAUCGCUUACUACUAGGAAAAAAUUGCAGCUAAAUAAGAGCAGGACGGCCAAAAGCAGCGAGCAUCUGCAUGCCGAGACCAGACGAAAUUGGCAGCGGUUUGCGGCAUGCGUGGCGGCUCAAUGCCCUCCCAGCGGCAGUGGCGCCUGCAGUGGCGCGGGCUGUCCCUAUAUAAAACGGGCGCCGAAGAAAAGCACCGAAGGACUCUGCUUCCGAUAAUGGACGAGUCUCUAGCCUAUUAAAUAAGUGCGUGGUUUUCUGCACCUUGCACUCUUCUUAGCGGGACAAGCGGCUCGUAGCCGCACGAAUCAGAGCAAUAACAGGUCUGCGAUGCCCUUAGAUGUCCGGGGCCGCACGCACGCUACACUGAUGAAAGCAGUGUGUUUUUAUCCCUGUUUGUAAAGAGGGGGUAACCCGUGGAACCUUCUUCGUGAUUGAGGUAGGGGCUUGC